AUAGAGAUGACAAUGGCAUAAUCAAAGACGACAAUUAUCUACCUCCUAUUAAAGAAGGGAUCUCAAUAAGAGUUAUAACCAUAGAUACAUCAAAUACUUGAGAUCAUUCCAAGUUUGAUAACAUAAGUUUUAUAAGAUACACAUUGUCUAGUAGAGUGUAAUACAAGUUUGAUCUUGUGACUUAAUUAUUAAACACUCAUUUCUUCCCGCUUUUCUUCAGUCCUGCUCCACCGAAUGACCCCUUCUGUGAUGCCUUUGCCUUCAGCUCUUUUAGUGCCUGCGCAUAACCAAAUGUCAAGUUCACAUUCCAGAAGGAAAGACAACACUCUAGUUGUUGUAAUAACAACAUGGUUUGCUUAAACAUUCUUGUUAGAAUCACAUCUUAAUUAGUCUAAUUCAAAAAGAAUGCAAAACAGAUCAAAUAUGAUAGAUAUACUGAUAUACAGAUCACUUUGAGCAAAUCAGGCCUUGAUACUUGCCUAUCAAAUCAGUUGCAUAAGAAGCAAGUAGAUAUGUUGAGGAUAAGCUCAUAAACACAUCAAAAAUUCUUGAUAUUAAAAAAAGUUAAAUAUGUCAAGUAGAGUAUGCAUAUUCACUGAAUACUGACAAUGAAUUCGAAUAUGGAAUAAGAUGUGGAAUUCUAAUUACUUUUAAGCAACUAUCCUGUUUGAACAAGGGGUCCCAAGGUUUGUUUAGCAUACCAUACCACAUAUAUAUCCUCAUGGGAAUAAGAUGAUGGUCACCUUACUCUGAUAGUCUAUUUCACAAAUCAUUUAAUUUCAGAGCAUGGUAACACACACACACACACACACACACAUAUAUAUAUAUAUAUAUACUAACACAAAGCUCACUAUUUCAAGCAUACAUGGUAAGGCUAUAAUACAGUAAUUCCAUAUGAAUUGAACAGAAGUUACUUCAAAAUAUAACACAAACCUUAGUUUUCGCC
rnacentral:lncRNA from 1 species